rnacentral:rRNA from 1 species
UACGUAUGGUCCUAGCGUUGUCCGGAAUAACUGGGCGUAAAGGGUGUGUAGGCGGAUAUCCGUGUCAGGUGUGAAAUCCCCCGGCUUAACUGGGGCAUUGCGCUUGAAACUGGAUAUCUGGAGCAUGUCAGGGGUAAGCGGAAUUCCCGGAGUAGCGGUGAAAUGCGUAGAUAUCGGGAAGAACACCGGUGGCGAAGGCGGCUUACUGGGGCAUGGCUGACGCUGAGGCACGAAAGCGUGGGGAGCGAACGGG